rnacentral:rRNA from 1 species
GUUGUUGCAGUUAAAAAGCUCGUAGUUGAAUUUCUGGCAUGGGCGACCGGUGCUUUCCCUGAAUGGGGAUUGAUUGUCUGUGUUGCCUUGGCCAUCUUUCUCUUGUCUUUUUUGGGAAGAAAUCUUUCACUGUAAUCAAAGCAAAGUGUUCCAAGCAGGUCGUAUGACCGGUAUGUUUAUUAUGGGAUGAUAAGAUAGGACUUGGGUGCUAUUUUGUUGGUUUGCACGCCUGAUUAAUGGUUAAUAGGAACAGUUGGGGGUAUUCGUAUUUAGGAGCUAGAGGUGAAAUUCUUGGAUUUCCAAAAGACAAACUAAAGCGAAGGCAUUUACCAAGCAUGUUUUCAUUAAUCAAGAACGAAAGUCUGGGGAUCGAAAAUGAUUAAAUACCAUCGUAGUCUAAACCGUAAACGAUGCCAACUUGCGAUUGUUGGGUGCUUUUUUAUGGGCCCCC